ACUUCCGGUGGGCUUCACAUGCUGUGGGGUGUCACUGUUAAGGUGAGAUGAGAGAAUUGAGGUUUGGAGUUGUUAAGCAGCUUGCCCAAAGUCACCUUGCAGGGCAUUCAAGUGUGCACUCCCAGGAGCUUGCUCGGCAAAGGAAGGCCUGAGAAACUAACAAAUAAUAACCUCAGCCUCAAGACCGCGGACUGUCUGGCACAGGAAGUUAUUCAUUCCGCCAGAUACAACGAGCUAGUGUCCCCCUCAAAGGCGCCCUUUGCCAGUCUGAACAGAAAGCCAUGGCUUGGGAACAACUGAUCUUCCUCACCGAGGGUUCUGCUGUGGUGAUGACAGCCACCAGACAAACCUUGUAAUCAGCUGAGUCUUCUUAGUUACACUAAAUGAAAAAGCAACAUAAGGCCUUAAAUCAGUUUUACAGUGUGACUCUGGAUAUUAAGAGUGGCACUGUGGAGUCACAAUAUAACUGUUGCUUAUUAGUUUUAACCAAGACGAACAUAAUGAAUUUUUCCACGCACAAUACUGUGGCACUACCACUAAAACAAAAUACUGGAAAAUUAUCAAGUUCUAUGGUGAAUUCACAGUGUCAACAGCUAAAUUAAUAAUUGGACUAAAAAACAUACUUUUCAGUUAAUCACCCAAUAUGUACCUACUGAGAGCUUUCUAUGUGCCCGGACUAUGCCCUGCAAACAGGCAUAGGCCCUGUCUGUAAGAAGAAAUUUAGCUAAGGACACAAAACCAACAUGCAUGUAACAGGGAGUGAAAAAUUAUGUGCAAGACUCAGUAAUUCAGCCUAACAAACA
ensembl:lncRNA novel transcript